UACAGAGGGUGCAAGCGUUAAUCGGAAUUACUGGGCGUAAAGCGCGCGUAGACGGUUAUGUAAGUCAGAUGUGAAAGCCCCCGGGGCUCAACCUGGGGAAUUGCAUUUGAGACUGCAUAGCUAGGGGUGCGGAAGAGGGAAGCGGAAUUUCCGGUGUGAGCGGUGAAAUGCGUAGAUAUCGGGAAGGAACACCAGUGGCGAAGGCGCCUGCUGGGCAGUAGCCGAAAGGCUUUCAAGC
rnacentral:rRNA from 1 species